rnacentral:misc_RNA from 1 species
UCCGACUGAACGUCGGCAGUCUCGUUAGAGUGCCCGGCUUACCCGUUGGCAACUAACGACAGGGGUUGCGCUCGUUGCGGGACUUAACCCAACAUCUCGCGACACGAGCUGACGACAGCCAUGCAGCACUUGUGUAUCGACUCUUGCGAGCGACGCAAUUUCUUGCAGUCUUCCAAUACAUGUCAAAUCUAGGUAAGGUUCUUCGCGUUGCAUCGAAUUGAACCACAUGCUCCACCGCUUGUGCGGGCCCCCGUCAAUUUCUUUGAGUUUUAAUCUUGCGACCGUACUUCCCAGGCGGGAUACUUAACGCGUUAGCUUCGGCACUGAAGGGGUCAAUACCUCCAACACCAAGUAUCCAUCGUUUAUGGCGUGGACUAC